GGAAAUGUGGGCACGGACGCAGAAACCAGACAGAUGAAUGCCCACAGUGGGUGGCCAGGCCCUCCUGAGCCUUCUGUCUCUCCGUGAAACAGGAAGCAGGGCCAUUGCUCAGAGUGCAAGAGGGCAGAGAGAGAAGAAAGUGAGAAGGACCAGCCAGCAGGGGCACACGGAAGGUUCGUGCCUAUGGACUGCAUUUCAUACCUCCAGUUACCACAGAGUGAAUUAUGGGAAAGGACAUGCGUGACCGGACGCGGACCUGACUCAGCUGCCUGUCAGUCACGUCUUCAAUCACGCCCUGGACGACUCAGUGGGAGGCGCUCUAGACCUGGCCGGACAUCUUAAAUUGUUAAACCCAACACCUCAGCGCUUGUGACAUUUUCCUUUCAGCCACCAGGAGCCGCUCCCUCUGAGCGUACCAUCACCUGAUUAAAGCUGCUGCUGUUUCUUUACUGUAGUGUGCCACUUGCAGCUCUUUGUUCAUCAUGCACAAGAACCUAGGAACCCGUCUGCGAGGGACCUUGCCACCCACGGGCUGUGCACAGAGCGCCCACCUCGCUGUGAAUCCCGGGGUGGGGAGCAGCAGGCAAGAAAGGGGUGUCCCCCUCACCGCACAGCCCUCCUUCGGAAGAGUGUGGGGCGGCUUCCAGAAGCAGCCAUGAGCAGUCCUCCCACCCACACCUGGCUGAGGCCCAAAGCUGUGUGUGGCCAAGUGACCAGGGACUGAAACUUAUGAAACCCGGAGCCAAAAUAAACCUUUCCUCCUUAGAAGGUCCUUUGGAUGGGUGGAGGUACAGCAACCAUCCUCAAUCAUGAGGAUGAAAGGCAGGUGCUACACAUCGUGCAGGAAGCAGACAGGAGUCUAGAUCUUGCUGAAACUCCUAAGCUGAAGCUCCAGCCCCUGGCUGUCAACUCUAAACUUAAGUUUUCUACAUAAGACAAAAAUAAAGUCCUUGUUUAAGCCUUUGCUCUUCUACUUUUUAAUUACUUGGCAACAGAAUGCAGUCCUAACUGAUAAACAGCCCAUCCCAUAAAAACCCGGGAACUUAUUCAGAAAUCCCAGCACCCCUUCCAGCCAGGGCAGCCCAGCCUGGGCCACAGGGUGUAGAGACACAGGCUCAGAGAGGUUAGGUGACUUGCCCAGUGUCACACAGUGGGCACAGAGCAGAGUCUGGUGUCACAGUCAGAUCUUCUGACUCAGGGACACUGCCUUUUCUCUGAUACCAGAGUGAGUACAGGUGGGCAGAGAUGUGGAGGUUCAGAAACCAAAGAUUCAUGGGGCGGGGAUUUAGCUCAGUGGUUUCGCCACCUGCUGUGCAAGCGCAAGAACCCGA